GGAUGAUUAUUGGGCUUAAGCGUCCGUAGCCGGCCCGGCAAGUCUCCCGUUAAAUCCAGCGACCUAAUCGUUGGGCUGCGGAAGGUACUGUUGGGCUAGGGGGCGAGAGAGCCGACGGUAUUCUCGGGGUAGGGGUGAAAUCCUAUAAUCCCGGGAGGACCACCAGUGGCGAAGGCUGUCGGCUAGAACGCGCUCGACGGUGAGGGACGAAAGCUGGGGGAGCGAACCGGAUUAGAUACCCGGGUAGUCCCAGCUGUAAACGAUGCGGGCUAGGUGUUGGGGUGGCUACGAGCCACCUCAGUGCCGCAGGGAAGCCAUUAAGCCCGCCGCCUGGGAAGUACGGCCGCAAGGCUGAAACUUAAAGGAAUUGGCGGGGGAGCACCACAAGGCGUGAAGCUUGCGGUUUAAUUGGAGUCAACGCCGGGAACCUUACCGGGGGCGACAGCAGAAUGAAGGCCAGAUUGGAGGUCUUGCUGAACAAGCUGAGAGGAGGUGCAUGGCCGUCGCCAGUUCGUGCCGUGAGGUGUCCUGUUAAGUCAGGCAACGAUCGAGACCCGCACCCUUAGUUGCAACCCCAGC
rnacentral:rRNA from 1 species